GCCUAAAGCGUCCGUAGCCUGUUCUAUAAGUUUCCGGUUAAAUCCAUUAGCUCAACUAAUGGGCCGCCGAAAAUACUGUAGAACUAGGGAGUGGGAGAGGUAGACGGUAUUCGGUAGGAAGGGGUAAAAUCCUUUGAUCUAUUGAGGACCACCUGUGGCGAAGGCGGUCUACCAGAACACGUUCGACGGUGAGGGAUGAAAGCUGGGGGAGCAAACCGGAUUAGAUACCCGGGUAGUCCCAGCCGUAAACGAUGCAGACUCGGUGAUGCGCUGGCUUGUGGCCAGUGCAGUGCCGCAGGGAAGCCGUUAAGUUUGCCGCCUGGGAAGUACGUACGCAAGUAUGAAACUUAAAGGAAUUGGCGGGGGAGCACCACAAGGGGUGAAGCCUGCGGUUCAAUUGGAGUCAACGCCAGAAAUCUUACCCGAAGAGACAGCAGAAUGAAGGUCAAGCUGGAGACUUUACCAGACAAGCUGAGAAGUGGUGCAUGGCCGUCGCCAGCUCGUGCCGUGAGAUGUCCUGUUAAGUCAGGUAACGAGCGAGAUCCCUGCCUCUAGUUGCCACCAUUACUCUCAGGAGUAGUGGGGCGAAUUAGCGGGACCGCCGCAGUUAAUGCGGAGGAAGGAAGGGGCCACGGCAGGUCAGUAUGCCCCGAA
rnacentral:rRNA from 1 species